rnacentral:rRNA from 1 species
CCCUUAGAUGUUCUGGGCGGCCCGCGCACUACAAUGGCGCUUUCAGCGAGUUCCUAUGUUGAAUUUUCCUGGGUAUUCUUGGAAGCGGCGUCUUGACUUGGGAUAGAUCCUUGUAAUUGUUGGUUUUGAACGAGGAAUUCCUUGUAAUCGCGGUUGAUCAGCUCGCGUUGAUUACGUCCCUGCCCUUUGUACACACCGCCCGUCGCUCCUACCGAUUGAAUGUUCCGGUGAGCUCUUCGGACUGCGCGGUCUGCAGUUUCUGCGUUCCGUGCGGAAAGUUGCGCAAACCUUAACAUUUAGAGGAAGGAGAAGUCGUAACA